AGCAGCCGCGGUAAUUCCAGCUCCAAUAGCGUAUAUUAAAGUUGUUGCAGUUAAAAAGCUCGUAGUUGAAUUUCGGGAUUGACACAUCGGUCGUGCCUUAAGGGGUAUGAACUGGUGUAGUCAGUUUCUCACCUUCUGGAGAACCGCGAUGUCCUUAAUUGGGUGCCGCGAGGAACCAGGACCUUUACUUUGAAAAAUUAGAGUGUUUAAAGCAGGCAUUUUGCUUGAAUACAUUAGCAUGGAAUAAUAAAAUAGGACGGAUGGUUCUAUUUUGUUGGUUUCUAGGAUCGACGUAAUGAUUAAUAGGGAUAGUUGGGGGCAUUAGUAUUCAAUUGUCAGAGGUGAAAUUCUUGGAUUUAUUGAAGACUAACUACUGCGAAAGCAUUUGCCAAGGAUGUUUUCAUUAAUCAAGAACGAAAGUUAGGGGAUC
rnacentral:rRNA from 1 species